rnacentral:rRNA from 1 species
UACGGAGGGUGCAAGCGUUGUUCGGAAUUAUUGGGCGUAAAGCGCGUGUAGGCGGUUUGUUAAGUCUGGUGUGAAAGCCCUGGACUCAACCUGGGAAGUGCAUUGGAUACUGGCAAACUUGAGUACGGGAGAGGAUAGUGGAAUUUCGAGUGUAGGGGUGAAAUCCGUAGAUAUUCGAAGGAACACCGGUGGCGAAGGCGGCUAUCUGGACCGAUACUGACGCUGAGACGCGAAAGCGUGGGGAGCAAACAGG